AGUGGAAUUUUAAAGACUGUCAUGACAAAGCUGAUGUUUGAAGAGGAGAACAGCUGGUUCUGGAGGACUCCUCUUCCAGAGCAAGAACAAGGAUUUCUUUUCUUUGCCUGGAGAAGAUGCUUUCUAUCCAUGAUGACAGCCUGAAGCUACAUAGCUGUAAGAAAGGCCAGGUUUUGACUCUUCCAUUUACCAAUGACAAGAGGAACUGUCUGUGAUUUGAUGGUAUUUUCUGAUGCUCACCAUGAGAUGUCCUAUGCUCUGGCUACAGGAAGACAUAAAUAAGUGCAGUAAUUGCAGAUCAGUUACUAAAGAAGUUGGUGUUGAGGCUUCUGAUCCACACAACAUGUUUUUUGAAGAUUUUUCUUCAGAAUGAAUUCAGGUCUCCUGAACUAAAUGUCUACAUCCCAGGCAUGGUGUGUAGCUGUCCCAGGAAGCAGCUAUUGGUUCAAAUCCUUAUGGUUAACACUUGAACAUGAAAU